rnacentral:tRNA from 1 species
GGCAUGGUGGUGCAGUGGGUAGCACUGUCGCCUCACAGCAAAAGGUCCUGGGUUCAAAUCCUUUCUGUGUGG